AGCCCCGAGGUGUUUCACAUGUCAGAUUGCAAAUCUGAAGUAGCAGGUUAGCCCCUGCCGGGGCUU
rnacentral:tRNA from 1 species